rnacentral:rRNA from 1 species
UACGUAGGGGGCAAGCGUUGUCCGGAAUUAUUGGGCGUAAAGAGCGUGUAGGCGGUCCGGUAAGUCAGCUGUGAAAGUCAAGGGCUCAACCCUUGAAUGCCGGUUGAUACUGUCGGGCUAGAGUCCGGAAGAGGCGAGUGGAAUUCCCGGUGUAGCGGUGAAAUGCGCAGAGUAUCGGGAGGAACACCAAUGGCGAAGGCAGCUCGCUGGGACGGUACUGACGCUGAGACGCGAAAGCGUGGGGAGCAAACAGG